rnacentral:rRNA from 1 species
CUACGGGCGGCUGCAGUGGGGAAUAUUGGACAAUGGGCGAAAGCCUGAUCCAGCCAUGCCGCGUGUGUGAAGAAGGCCUUCGGGUUGUAAAGCACUUUCAGUGGGGAAGAAAGCCUUGGGGCUAAUACCCUCGAGGAAGGACAUCACCCACAGAAGAAGCACCGGCUAACUCCGUGCCAGCAGCCGCGGUAAUACGGAGGGUGCGAGCGUUAAUCGGAAUUACUGGGCGUAAAGCGCGCGUAGGCGGUCUGAUAAGCCGGUUGUGAAAGCCCCGGGCUCAACCUGGGAACGGCAUCCGGAACUGUCAGGCUAGAGUGCAGGAGAGGAAGGUAGAAUUCCCGGUGUAGCGGUGAAAUGCGUAGAGAUCGGGAGGAAUACCAGUGGCGAAGGCGGUCUUCUGGACUGACACUGACGCUGAGGUGCGAAAGCGUGGGUAGCAAACAGGAUUAGAUACCCCAGUAGUC